GAUGAACGCUAGCGGCAGGCUUAAUACAUGCAAGUCGAGGGGCAGCAUGACUGUAGCAAUACAGUUGAUGGCGACCGGCAAACGGGUGCGGAACACGUACAGAACCUUCCUUCGAGCGGGGAAUAGCCCAGAGAAAUUUGGAUUAAUACCCCAUAGUACAUUGGAGUGGCAUCACUUUAAUGUUAAAGAUUUAUCACUUGAAGAUGGCUGUGCGGCUGAUUAGGUAGUUGGCGGGGUAACGGCCCACCAAGCCUGCGAUCAGUAACUGGUGUGAGAGCACGACCAGUCACACGGGCACUGAGACACGGGCCCGACUCCUACGGGAGGCAGCAGUAAGGAAUAUUGGUCAAUGGACGAAAGUCUGAACCAGCCAUGCCGCGUGGAGGAUGAAGGUCCUCUGGAUUGUAAACUUCUUUUAUAUGGGACGAAAAAAGGCUUUUCUAAGUCGUCUGACGGUACCAUAUGAAUAAGCACCGGCUAACUCCGUGCC
rnacentral:rRNA from 1 species